rnacentral:rRNA from 1 species
AUUGAACGCUGGCGGAAUGCUUUACACAUGCAAGUCGAACGGCAGCAUAGGUGCUUGCACCUGAUGGCGAGUGGCGAACGGGUGAGUAAUAUAUCGGAACGUGCCCAGUCGUGGGGGAUAACGUAGCGAAAGCUACGCUAAUACCGCAUACGAUCUACGGAUGAAAGCGGGGGACCUUCGGGCCUCGCGCGAUUGGAGCGGCCGAUAUCAGAUUAGGUAGUUGGUGGGGUAAAGGCCCACCAAGCCAACGAUCUGUAGCUGGUCUGAGAGGACGACCAGCCACACUGGGACUGAGACACGGCCCAGACUCCUACGGGAGGCAGCAGUGGGGAAUUUUGGACAAUGGACGCAAGUCUGAUCCAACCAUUCCGCGUGCAGGACGAAGGCCUUCGGGUUGUAAACUGCUUUUGUACAGAACGAAAAGGUUUCUACUAAUACUAGGGGCUCAUGACGGUACUGUAAGAAUAAGCACCGGCUAACUACGUGCCAGCAGCCGCUGUAA